AGAAAAUUAGUUAAAUAUAUAAUAGUGGGCUGUCAAACCAUAGUUACUAAAUUAAAAUUAGUAUUUUCUG
rnacentral:tRNA from 1 species